AAUCAAAAUUUGACACAUGGCAUCUGUUUAAAAAAUUAAAAUUAAAAUGCAACAAAAAAUAAUGUUAGAUCCUAAAAUUUCUAAAAUUCGAAAUAACUAAACCCUAAAAUUUCUCACAUUAUCACUUCCACUUCUUGACAAAAAAAAUUCCACGUUCUAAAAUAACAGUUACGAUUUAAAACUGUUUUGUUCUUAUAUAAGUUUGACAAAACAGUUUUACUUUCUAUUAAGCUCCUUCUCUCUCCUUCUUCUCUCCUUUUGCUUUUCUAUUGUAUCAUAUUCUUCUUUUUUACGAUUAUUGAGUCCUUGACUAUAAAAAAAAAAAACAUAUGGGCUGAAAUUGGAUUACCUUUUUUUGGAAUAGAAAACUUUGGAAUGAUCAAUUCGAUUAGUUUCAUGAAUUCGUUUUACCAUUUAACGUGAAUGGAAUGAAAUGUUCAUUCCAUCAAUUUUUUAAAAAAAUAAACAAAAUACAAAACAAACAAUUCCAUAACAAUUUUGUUAAAGAAUAAAUUGAAUGGAUCUAUUCCAUUUUUCUACUGCAUUCCAUUCAUGUUAUUUCAUUCCUCCUAUUCCAUUUAUUCUUUUUUUGAUUCACCAGUUACAGCCAUGGUUUAUGUUUCAAAGCUUUCGAAAGCUUAAUUCUCCAAUAAAUAAAUGACAAAUCAAAGUUUUUUCAGCAACAAAGCAUUUCAAAGGAAAAAAGCACCGAUAUUAUAUAUUUCUUUUCUUUUAUUAUUUUAGAUGCUGAAGAACAUGAGAAGAAGGGAAGGAGAGUAAGAGGCUCACCUUAAAUCACACUUCCAUGGCCCCUAUAAAACUUGAGAAGUACAACAAGAAGAAAAGAAGAAAGGAAAAAUGUUGUGAUAAUUAGAAAUAAAAAAAUAGGGCAUAAGAAAUUCGGGUUGUAGGAGAAAGAAGACUUAUGUCUAUUAUCUAGAUUCGGUAAGUAUUCCAUAUUUUUCUUGUGUGUGUUUAACUGUUUAUAAUCUAUAAAAUGUGGUGAUAUCUUAUUUUUUUAUUCAAUAUACACUUCUGAUUUUUUUUUUCUUAAAUAGUUUUAUUGAAUUUGUAGAUUCCCUCAUAAAAAGAAAUGCCGAAGCAAAUAGCAUCAUUGUAUAAAAAGAAAUAUAAAAGAAUAUGACCAAAAAAAUAAACAUGAGUGAGAGAAUAAGAAAAUGACUACAAAAUAUAAUAACCUCAAAACUAAGUUGACAAAUUGUACUGUUGUAAGAUAUAUACUUUUGUUGUUCGAUCAUAUUUACUGAUUAUAUUGGUUUUGAAACAAUAUUAACAUUAUAUAUUUUGUGUCUAUAUUGAACUGUUGUAAAUUAUAAACAUCAAAAUUUUAAUGUUAUCUUAAUUAUAAAUUCUAAUAGUAUGUUCAAAAUAAACAUAUUUUAUAUUAGUGCCCGUACGUAGUAGUACGGGGGUAAUACUAGUUUAUGAAUUAUAUUUCUAUUUUUGUUCAUUAAUUAUCUUUUAUCUCCAUUAUUUGUAUGUGAUUGUAGAAACUACUAAUAAUAAUGAAAAAAUGGCAUGAGAUUCAAGCAAAUGAGAAGAGACUUACGGUCUUUAGACUUGUCGCUGUAUAGA